rnacentral:rRNA from 1 species
AACGAACGCUGGCGGCAUGCCUAACACAUGCAAGUCGAACGAGACCUUCGGGUCUAGUGGCGCACGGGUGCGUAACGCGUGGGAACCUGCCUUUAGGUUCGGAAUAACUCAGAGAAAUUUGAGCUAAUACCGGAUAAUGUCUUCGGACCAAAGAUUUAUCGCCUUUAGAUGGGCCCGCGUUGGAUUAGCUAGUUGGUGGGGUAAAGGCCUACCAAGGCGACGAUCCAUAGCUGGUCUGAGAGGAUGAUCAGCCACACUGGGACUGAGACACGGCCCAGACUCCUACGGGAGGCAGCAGUGGGGAAUAUUGGACAAUGGGCGAAAGCCUGUUCCAGCAAUGCCGCGUGAGUGAUGAAGGCCUUAGGGUUGUAAAGCUCUUUUACCCGAGAUGAUAAUGACAGUAUCGGGAGAAUAAGCUCCGGCUAACUCCGUGCCAGCAGCCGCAGUAA